ACGAACGCUGGCGGCGUGCUUAACACCUGCAAGUCGAACGGAAAGGCCCUGCUUUUGUGGGGUGCUCGAGUGGCGAACGGGUGAGUAACACGUGAGUAACCUGCCCUUGACUUUGGGAUAACUUCAGGAAACUGGGGCUAAUACCGGAUAGGAGCUCCUGCUGCCUGGUGGGGGUUUGAAAGUUUCGGCGGUUGGGGAUGGACUCGCGGCUUAUCAGCUUGUUGGUGGGGUAGUGGCUUACCAAGGCUUUGACGGGUAGCCGGCCUGAGAGGGUGACCGGCCACAUUGGGACUGAGAUACGGCCCAGACUCCUACGGGAGGCAGCAGUGGGGAAUAUUGCACAAUGGGCGGAAGCCUGAUGCAGCAACGCCGCGUGCGGGAUGACGGCCUUCGGGUUGUAAACCGCUUUCGCCUGUGACGAAGCGUGAGUGACGGUAAUGGGUAAAGAAGCACCGGCUAACUACGUG
rnacentral:rRNA from 1 species